UACAGAGGGUGCAAGCGUUGUUCGGAAUUAUUGGGCGUAAAGCGCGUGUAGGCGGCCAUGCAAGUCGGAUGUGAAAGCCCUCGGCUCAGCCGGGGAAGUGCACUCGAAACUGCAAGGCUAGAGUCUCGGAGAGGAUCGUGGAAUUCUCGGUGUAGAGGUGAAAUUCGUAGAUAUCGAGAGGAACACCGGUGGCGAAGGCGGCGAUCUGGACGAUGACUGACGCUGAGACGCGAAAGCGUGGGGAUCAAACAGG
rnacentral:rRNA from 1 species